GUGGGGAAUUUUGGACAAUGGGGGCAACCCUGAUCCAGCAAUGCCGCGUGCAGGAAGAAGGCCUUCGGGUUGUAAACUGCUUUUGUACGGAACGAAACGGUCCUGGUUAAUACCUGGGGCUCAUGACGGUACCGUAAGAAUAAGCACCGGCUAACUACGUGCCAGCAGCCGCGGUAAUACGUAGGGUGCAAGCGUUAAUCGGAAUUACUGGGCGUAAAGCGUGCGCAGGCGGUUUUGUAAGACAGGCGUGAAAUCACCGGGCUCAACCUGGGAAUGGCGCUUGUGACUGCAAGGCUGGAGUGCGGCAGAGGGGGAUGGAAUUCCGCGUGUAGCAGUGAAAUGCGUAGCUAUGCGGAGGAACACCGAUGGCGAAGGCAAUCCCCUGGGCCUGCACUGACGCUCAUGCACGAAAGCGUGGGGAGCAAACAGGAUUAGAUACCCUGGUAGUCC
rnacentral:rRNA from 1 species